CCUGUUUGGACACAGUAAAUAUUCCAUAGAUAUGAAAAGGCAGAAGAAAAGAAGAGAAAUUACUUUCUAUUUGAAGGUCUCAAGGAUUUUAAAAUUCAACCAUAUUUUAUAAAUAAGGAAAUUAAGCAGGACAAGGUCAUACACGCCCAGAAAGGCUGUUUUGUACAUUUAUGAAUCUGUGGGCACCAAGGUCCUCUUCUCGAUCAGCUCGGUAAGGGCCCUCCAGGUUCGGAGAUGCUUUUCUGUUUGUCAGUGUGGAGCCUGGAGCGGCUCAGGACAGGUGCUGCUGGGACCCUUCUGCCACCGUUUGGAGCCUGAGAAUGAGUGAAAUUCACAGCAGCAGACGAGCUCGGAUCAACUUUCACAUUGGAGAUUUUCAAACCCCUGGACCAGUAAAUCUGGUACAACAAACGCUUUCUGCUUCCCCUAAGCUUCCGGCAUUCUCAAGGAAAGUUGUGCAGCGCUUGAACGAAUAAAUCUCUUGGAGCAGUUUUGCUGGAGCUGGCAGCCUUCAGCUUUUAAGGACAACAAGGUUCCCCAUCACGUUCUGUUGUCCUUUCCUCAAAGUGAGCAUAUAUCUGAAAACAGCUCUGGUGCAUUUCUGCUGGAGAAAAAGCAAGAAGCUAUUAACGGAGACACUUGAGGCCGCUGUGCAAGUCCAUUACCCCAGAAAUAGAUUAAAGCAAGUUUGCAGAUACGAGUCGCCCAGUAUUCUCACUCUACCUGCAAGAACGAGGCUCUGUGAGUGGGAGACAGAUGUUCUUAUCUCAUCCCCCUGACCAACUAAAGUGAAAUAA